CACGUAGGCGGUCUGUCAAGCGCUCUGUGAAAUCCCUCGGCUCAACCGAGGAAUGGCUUGGCGAACUGGCAGACUUGAGGCAGGCAGAGGCGUGUGGAACCCUUGGUGGAGCGGUGAUAUGCGUAGAUAUCAAGGGGAACGCCGGAGGCGAAAGCGAUACGCUGGGCCUGUCCUGACGCUGAGGUGCGAAAGCUAGGGUAGCGAACAGGAUUAGAUACCCUGGUAGUCC
rnacentral:rRNA from 1 species